rnacentral:rRNA from 1 species
UACGUAGGGGGCAAGCGUUGUCCGGAUUUAUUGGGCGAAAGAGCUCGUAGGUGGUUCGGUAAGUCGGAUGUGAAAUCUCCAGGCUCAACCUGGAGGGGUCAUUCGAUACUGCCGUGACUAGAGGUCGGUAGGGGAGUGUGGAAUUCCUGGUGGAGCGGUGAAAUGCGCAGAUAUCAGGAGGAACACCCGUAGCGAAGGCGGCACUCUGGGCCGAUACUGACACUGAGGAGCGAAAGCGUGGGGAGCGAACAGG